rnacentral:rRNA from 1 species
GACGAACGCUGGCGGCGUGCUUAACACAUGCAAGUCGAGCGGUAAGGCCCUUUCGGGGGUACGACGAGCGGCGAACGGGUAGAGUAACACGUGGGUGACCUGCCCUCAGCUCUGGGAUAAGCCUGGGAAACCGGGUACUAAUACUGGAUAUGACUCCAUGACGCAUGUUGUGGGGUGGAAAGCCUUGUGCGGCUGAGGAUGGGCCCGCGGCCUAUCAGCUUGUUGGUGGGGUGANGGCCUACCAAGGCGACGACGGGUAGCCGGCCUGAGAGGGCGACCGG